AACAGCCUAAUAGAUUAGCUUUUUGUGAUUAACCUUGUGUCAUGUUCUUCUUUCAGAUCUAGGUUUACUGUAAUAACCCUAUGAGGUACGUAAAACGUUAUCGCAACCUUUUCACGACAUAAACACAUUUUUAACGUAACUUGCUGGGUACACCCUUUAUUGUUGACCGAGUUAGACCGUAAAUAUGAUGCUGUAGUGCGCGCUACAGAGAUUCGUCACCAAAAUUACACCUGUUAGACUACCACACCUUACUUUACAAACGUCAACACUCCUUAUAUUUACUGGCCCAAUUUUUGUCUUGUCAGUCUGUAAACUUUGAACGAAAACGCAUCACAUAGAGCAUUGCAAGGACUAUUGUAAGGAAUAUUGUUCGUUAUUCAUGGUUAUUAUGACUUUGAAGAGCGGGAGAAGUUUUUUUCUUUCUAGUCAGGAUGGCACAAGGAAACUUUUAUUCACCCUGUUGUUUGUGUGGUGUGCUAUUAAUUCUGCGACUAGAGUUGGGUAAGUGAUUGUUUGGAUUUCAAUUAUGUGUCAUUACUUUU
ensembl:lncRNA